rnacentral:rRNA from 1 species
CCGCCUGGGGAGUACGGCCGCAAGGUUAAAACUCAAAUGAAUUGACGGGGGCCCGCACAAGCGGUGGAGCAUGUGGUUUAAUUCGAUGCAACGCGAAGAACCUUACCUGGUCUUGACAUCCACGGAAGUUUUCAGAGAUGAGAAUGUGCCUUCGGGAACCGUGAGACAGGUGCUGCAUGGCUGUCGUCAGCUCGUGUUGUGAAAUGUUGGGUUAAGUCCCGCAACGAGCGCAACCCUUAUCCUUUGUUGCCAGCGGUCCGGCCGGGAACUCAAAGGAGACUGCCAGUGAUAAACUGGAGGAAGGUGGGGAUGACGUCAAGUCAUCAUGGCCCUUACGACCAGGGCUACACACGUGCUACAAUGGCGCAUACAAAGAGAAGCGACCUCGCGAGAGCAAGCGGACCUCAUAAAGUGCGUCGUAGUCCGGAUUGGAGUCUGCAACUCGACUCCAUGAAGUCGGAAUCGCUAGUAAUCGUGGAUCAGAAUGCCACGGUGAAUACGUUCCCGGGCCUUGUACACACCGCCCGUCACACCAUGGGAGUGGGUUGCAAAAGAAGUAGGUAGCUUAACCUUCGGGAGGGCGCUUACCACUUUGUGAUUCAUGACUGGGGUGAAGUCGUAACAAGGUAACCGUAGGGGAACCUGCGGUUGGAUCAC